rnacentral:misc_RNA from 1 species
AAGUCGUAACAAGGUUUCCGUAGGUGAACCUGCGGAAGGAUCAUUACAAAUACUUGGUUAACACCUUCUAUUAUUGUGCAUCUCAUGUGGCUUUGGAGUCAUUUCUUCUUUAUUACAUUUUUCAAGUUGUAGAUUUUCUCUACAUACAAAUACCUAAAACUUCCAGCAACGGAUCUCUAGGUUCUC